AACGCCAGGGUAUUACGAGCUUAGCUUAAAACCCAAAGGACUUGACGGUACCCCACCCAACUAGAGGAGCCUGUUCUGUAAUCGAUAACCCCCGAUAUACCCGACCAUUUCUUGCCAUCAGCCUGUAUACCUCCGUCGUAAGCCUACCAUGUGAACGCACAACAGUGGGCCUAAAGGCUAAACACCACAACGUCAGGUCAAGGUGCAGCCUAUGAAAUGGAAGCAAUGGGCUACAAUUUUUAACCUAGAACAAACAAAGUACUACAUGAAAUGUAGUUACAAAGAAGGAUUUAGUAGUAAAUAGGGAAUAGAGAGCCUUAUUAAAUCUAGCCCUGGGGUA
rnacentral:rRNA from 1 species